rnacentral:tRNA from 2 species
GGCCGGUUGGCCCAAUUGGUAAGGCGUCUGACUACGAUUCAGUAGCACACACGCCUUGUGCUCUCUGUUGUAUCAUCAGGAGAUUCUGGGUUCGAGCCCCAGGCUGGUCA